CGGCAGCUCCCAGGGGAGAAGCAGACUUAUGGUGAAACCUCUACACAUAAAAUACAGGUUCCCCAAAUUGCUUCCCUCCACAAACGUUUUCCAAGCCCUUUGUGAAUGGCCUUAAUUAGGAAGCCUGGAAAUGUGUCUCCUGGAAGGAACAAGAAAGGAAAAGCUAAAACAAAACAGAAGGACAACAACUUACUGGUGGUAAGACUUCCUGCCUGACUCCAGCUUAAGAGGAGUUGACUUUCCCUUCUCAAUGGACAGUGAAGACAACAUGAAGGACAGUGAGGAGAGAGAGAGGCUCAAGGAACACCUGGAGAACAACCCAGAGAUCACGGUCGUAGAGGAUGACGGAUCGAUAACUGGGAAAUAGAAAGUCUCCUGUGUAGAGGGUCAGCUUAGCGCCUCUCAGUGUCUCCCUCGUUAGGGCCCCUCCGAGAGACGCCUCCCUAAACCUGGUGCUUUUCUUUAUCGUUUGGUUGACCUUUAUGUUCUCUUUGCCCUAAAUUCUUUAACUUAAAAAUGAUUUUUUUUGGUAUUGUGUUUCUUUUUUCAGUCGUCUUGAGUCCUCCUGGAAUGAGGUAGAGAUGUUAAACAUUUGGAGUAUCACCCCUGGAGCGAGACAAACAAAUGUAUUCUUUCUGUCCUCACAGAGAUCACCAGGUGUUGGUAGGAGGACGUAACAUUUCCACUUUAUAGAAUAAAACUGAGACACAGAGAAAAAGUGGCUUGACC
rnacentral:lncRNA from 1 species